rnacentral:rRNA from 1 species
GGGGAAUAUUGGGCAAUGGGCGCAAGCCUGACCCAGCAACGCCGCGUGAGGGAAGAAGGCUUUCGGGUUGUAAACCUCUGUCCUUGGUGACGAAAAAAAUGACGGUAGCCAAGGAGGAAGCCCCGGCUAACUACGUGCCAGCAGCCGCGGUAAUACGUAGGGGGCGAGCGUUGUCCGGAAUUACUGGGCGUAAAGGGUGCGUAGGUGGCCUUUUAAGUUGGAUGUGAAAUACCCGGGCUUAACCUGGGGGGUGCAUCUAAUACUGGAAGGCUAGAGUGCAGGAGAGGAAAGCGGAAUUCCUAGUGUAGCGGUGAAAUGCGUAGAUAUUAGGAGGAACACCAGUGGCGAAGGCGGCUUUCUGGACUGUAACUGACACUGAGGCACGAAAGCGUGGGGAGCAAAC